UACGGGGGGAGCAAGCGUUGUUCGGAUUUACUGGGCGUAAAGGGCGCGUAGGCGGCGCAACAAGUCACUUGUGAAAUCCCCGGGCUUAACCUGGGAACUGCGUUUCUAACUGGCAGGCUUGAGUGUGGCAGAGGGGGGUGGAAUUCCACGUGUAGCAGUGAAAUGCGUAGAGAUGUGGAGGAACACCGAUGGCGAAGGCAGCCCCCUGGGCUAACACUGACGCUCAUGCACGAAAGCGUGGGGAGCAAACAGG
rnacentral:rRNA from 1 species